rnacentral:rRNA from 1 species
GACGAACGCUGGAGGCGUGCUUAACACAUGCAAGUCGAACGAUGAAAUGGAGCUUGCUCCAUGGAUUAGUGGCGAACGGGUGAGUAACACGUGAAUACCCUGCCCUUAAUUUUGGAAUAACCCAGGGAAACCUGGGCUAAUACCGGAUAAGUAAACCUGUGGCAUCACGUGGUUUUGGAAAGUUUUUCGAUUAAGGAUGGAUUCGCGGCCUAUCAGCUUGUUGGUGAGGUAAUGGCUCACCAAGGCGACGACGGGUAGCCGGCCUGGGAGGGGGAACGGCCACACUGGGACUGAGACACGGCCCAGACUCCUACGGGAGGAAGCAGUGGGGAAUAUUGCGCAAUGGACGAAAGUCUGACGCAGCGACGCCUCGUGAGGGACGAAGGUCUUCGGAUUGUAAACCUCUUUCAGCAGGGACGAAGCGAAAGUGACGGUACCUGCAGAAAAAGCACCGGCUAACUAUGUGCCAGCCGCCGCAGUAA